rnacentral:rRNA from 1 species
GGGUUGUGAGGUUAAGCGACUAAGCGUACACGGUGGAUGCCCUGGCAGUCAGAGGCGAUGAAGGACGUGCUAAUCUGCGAUAAGCGUCGGUAAGGUGAUAUGAACCGUUAUAACCGGCGAUUUCCGAAUGGGGAAACCCAGUGUGUUUCGACACACUAUCAUUAACUGAAUCCAUAGGUUAAUGAGGCGAACCGGGGGAACUGAAACAUCUAAGUACCCCGAGGAAAAGAAAUCAACCGAGAUUCCCCCAGUAGCGGCGAGCGAACGGGGAGCAGCCCAGAGCCUGAAUCAGUGUGUGUGUUAGUGGAAGCGUCUGGAAAGGCGCGCGAUACAGGGUGACAGCCCCGUACACAAAAAUGCACAUGCUGUGAGCUCGAUGAGUAGGGCGGGACACGUGGUAUCCUGUCUGAAUAUGGGGGGACCAUCCUCCAAGGCUAAAUACUCCUGACUGACCGAUAGUGAACCAGUACCGUGAGGGAAAGGCGAAAAGAACCCCGGCGAGGGGAGUGAAAAAGAACCUGAAACCGUGUACGUACAAGCAGUGGGAGCACGCUUAGGCGUGUGACUGCGUACCUUUUGUAUAAUGGGUCAGCGACUUAUAUUCUGUAGCAAGGUUAACCGAAUAGGGGAGCCGAAGGGAAACCGAGUCUUAACUGGGCGUUAAGUUGCAGGGUAUAGACCCGAAACCGGUGAUCUAGCCAUGGGCAGGUUGAAGGUUGGGUAACACUAACUGGAGGACCGAACCGACUAAUGUUGAAAAAUUAGCGGAUGACUUGUGGCUGGGGGUGAAAGGCCAAUCAAACCGGGAGAUAGCUGGUUCUCCCCGAAAGCUAUUUAGGUAGCGCCUCGUGAAUUCAUCUCCGGGGGUAGAGCACUGUUUCGGCAAGGGGGUCAUCCCGACUUACCAACCCGAUGCAAACUGCGAAUACCGGAGAAUGUUAUCACGGGAGACACACGGCGGGUGCUAACGUCCGUCGUGAAGAGGGAAACAACCCAGACCGCCAGCUAAGGUCCCAAAGUCAUGGUUAAGUGGGAAACGAUGUGGGAAGGCCCAGACAGCCAGGAUGUUGGCUUAGAAGCAGCCAUCAUUUAAAGAAAGCGUAAUAGCUCACUGGUCGAGUCGGCCUGCGCGGAAGAUGUAACGGGGCUAAACCAUGCACCGAAGCUGCGGCAGCGACGCUGAUGCGUUGUUGGGUAGGGGAGCGUUCUGUAAGCCUGCGAAGGUGUGCUGUGAGGCAUGCUGGAGGUAUCAGAAGUGCGAAUGCUGACAUAAGUAACGAUAAAGCGGGUGAAAAGCCCGCUCGCCGGAAGACCAAGGGUUCCUGUCCAACGUUAAUCGGGGCAGGGUGAGUCGACCCCUAAGGCGAGGCCGAAAGGCGUAGUCGAUGGGAAACAGGUUAAUAUUCCUGUACUUGGUGUUACUGCGAAGGGGGGACGGAGAAGGCUAUGUUGGCCGGGCGACGGUUGUCCCGGUUUAAGCGUGUAGGCUGGUUUUCCAGGCAAAUCCGGAAAAUCAAGGCUGAGGCGUGAUGACGAGGCACUACGGUGCUGAAGCAACAAAUGCCCUGCUUCCAGGAAAAGCCUCUAAGCAUCAGGUAACAUCAAAUCGUACCCCAAACCGACACAGGUGGUCAGGUAGAGAAUACCAAGGCGCUUGAGAGAACUCGGGUGAAGGAACUAGGCAAAAUGGUGCCGUAACUUCGGGAGAAGGCACGCUGAUAUGUAGGUGAAGUCCCUUGCGGAUGGAGCUGAAAUCAGUCGAAGAUACCAGCUGGCUGCAACUGUUUAUUAAAAACACAGCACUGUGCAAACACGAAAGUGGACGUAUACGGUGUGACGCCUGCCCGGGUGCCGGAAGGUUAAUUGAUGGGGUCAGCGCAAGCGAAGCUCUUGAUCGAAGCCCCGGUAAACGGCGGCCGUAACUAUAACGGUCCUAAGGUAGCGAAAUUCCUUGUCGGGUAAGUUCCGACCUGCACGAAUGGCGUAAUGAUGGCCAGGCUGUCUCCACCCGAGACUCAGUGAAAUUGAACUCGCUGUGAAGAUGCAGUGUACCCGCGGCAAGACGGAAAGACCCCGUGAACCUUUACUAUAGCUUGGACACUGAACAUUGAGCCUUGAUGUGUAGGAUAGGUGGGAGGCUUAGAAGUGUGGACGCCAGUCUGCAUGGAGCCGACCUUGAAAUACCACCCUUUAAUGUUUGAUGUUCUAACGUUGACCCGUAAUCCGGGUUGCGGACAGUGUCUGGUGGGUAGUUUGACUGGGGCGGUCUCCUCCUAAAGAGUAACGGAGGAGCACGAAGGUUGGCUAAUCCUGGUCGGACAUCAGGAGGUUAGUGCAAUGGCAUAAGCCAGCUUGACUGCGAGCGUGACGGCGCGAGCAGGUGCGAAAGCAGGUCAUAGUGAUCCGGUGGUUCUGAAUGGAAGGGCCAUCGCUCAACGGAUAAAAGGUACUCCGGGGAUAACAGGCUGAUACCGCCCAAGAGUUCAUAUCGACGGCGGUGUUUGGCACCUCGAUGUCGGCUCAUCACAUCCUGGGGCUGAAGUAGGUCCCAAGGGUAUGGCUGUUCGCCAUUUAAAGUGGUACGCGAGCUGGGUUUAGAACGUCGUGAGACAGUUCGGUCCCUAUCUGCCGUGGGCGCUGGAGAACUGAGGGGGGCUGCUCCUAGUACGAGAGGACCGGAGUGGACGCAUCACUGGUGUUCGGGUUGUCAUGCCAAUGGCACUGCCCGGUAGCUAAAUGCGGAAGAGAUAAGUGCUGAAAGCAUCUAAGCACGAAACUUGCCCCGAGAUGAGUUCUCCCUGACUCCUUGAGAGUCCUGAAGGAACGUUGAAGACGACGACGUUGAUAGGCCGGGUGUGUAAGCGCAGCGAUGCGUUGAGCUAACCGGUACUAAUGAACCGUGAGGCUUAACCUUACAACGCCGAAGGUGUUU